CCCUUAGAUGUUCGGGGCCGCACGCGCGCUACACUGAAUGAAUCAGCGAGUGUAUGUCCUAGGCCGAAAGGUCCGGGUAACCCGUUGAACCUCAUUCGUGAUUGGGAUAGGGACUUGCAAUUGUUUCCCUUGAACGAGGAAUUCCCAGUAAGCGCAAGUCAUCAGCUUGCGUUGAUUACGUCCCUGCCCUUUGUACACACCGCCCGUCGCUACUACCGAUUGAGUGGUCCGGUGAGGCUUUGGGAUCUGAGCGGAAAGAGCGUUUCGCUGUUUCUGCUCGGAAAACUCAGUCGAACCUUAUCAUUUAGAGGAAGGAGAAGUCGUAACA
rnacentral:rRNA from 1 species